GUGCCAGCCGCCGCGGUAAUACGGAGGGGGUUAGCGUUGUUCGGAAUUACUGGGCGUAAAGCGCGCGUAGGCGGAUUGGAAAGUAUGGGGUGAAAUCCCAGGGCUCAACCCUGGAACUGCCUCAUAAACUCCCAGUCUUGAGUUCGAGAGAGGUGAGUGGAACUCCGAGUGUAGAGGUGAAAUUCGUAGAUAUUCGGAAGAACACCAGUGGCGAAGGCGGCUCACUGGCUCGAUACUGACGCUGAGGUGCGAAAGUGUGGGGAGCAAACAGGAUUAGAUACCCGAGUAGUCC
rnacentral:rRNA from 1 species